AAAUUCAUUGGUGUUUGUAUGAAAAAUAAAAAAUCAUGUGAGUUUAAUGCAAGUAUUCAAGAGUUUUAUUGACGAAUUCAUUGAUAAGUUAAGAUUUAAUUGGGAUGAAAAAUAGCUUAAAGAUCUAAUUGAGACCUGUCUUAAAGAUUGAGGGUUACUUUCUUGAGGUUUGCCUUUUAUUUUAUCCAUAGAAAUCUAGAAGAAGCUAAUAAAUCGAACCUUAAAAAAGAAGAGAGAAAGUCAGAGAAAUUCAUUUCUUCUGAAUCAAGACACUCGUCUCUGUGUGAGAGAGAGAGGGACGCGAAAUGGGUGACAAUCGGUGGAUAAUAACAAAGCAAGGAAGGAUAGAUUUGUUCAGAAGAAGAAAUGCUGGUGACCUGUUUGACGAGGAUAUCGAUUAUCUGUUGUGAUGGCAUUUUCAGAGCUCAAAAUAGUUCGCACAAGAAUUUCACUGGGAUUAUAUCUUUGAUAUACUACUCUGGCUGACAGGAUUGAGGCAAAUACUUACAACUGUUGCCAUCACAAGAAGAAGCUGUAAGCUUGCAGAACUUUUCUGGCCAGAAGGCGUGAAGAAAGCACCGUUGAGCAUCAUGUCUCCAUCUGAUCUCCAGUUCCAGCUCUUCCACUCCUCAAAUCCAGUCAAGCUUUCAUGCCAAGUCACCUGAAUGUGAAGUGAACUUUUAGGAACAAAAGGGUAAGUUGAGCAGUUCCCUAACUGGACGUAACCUGGUAAGUUGAACAACUAUAAUUAACUGGGACAGUUGAAGUGUCCAUGAUUUGACACUAGCCUUUUUUUUCAUUUCAAAUUCUACUUCAGUUAUUGCUUCAUUUGUGAAGAAUGAACUGUUCCCCCUUUCCUUUGGAGGGAUAAAAAAGGUAAGCUCUCAGGUAAAAUGAGAUAGCUGUCAAGUGAUUAAUUAUCUGUAGGCAAAGACGCCCUUCAUUUUGUUUAAGUAAAGCCUAUUCACUUUAAGAUAGAGAAACUUGCCUCCUUAGUGUCACUGUUGUCUAAUGCCAUAAAAACAUUCCCUUGGCUGUUGAUUGUUGGAUCGGCGCUUCCACCAAUUGCGUACUUCUCCCAACCAGUAUAUAUAUUAUUCACAAUGUGAAAAUAACCAUGCCUGCACCUGUAACACUUUGUAGAUGCAUUUAGAUAGCAGCAAUUCACUGAUAACUCCAGGGAUGCAGAGAAGAAAAGGGAGCGCCAUUAAUAUUUACAGUUGCUCAUGCAGCUUUGUUAUAGAGUAAAGUUAGUAAUAACUUCAGUUACCUGGGCAUUCUUUGAACCAGAUUUUCACCAAAAAAAUUGAAGGCAAUUGUGACUUGCAUAUUCUUGUCAUCAAGAAAAUCAUCACUAUGACCCAUAAGCAUAACCUCAUUAUGAUUGAACAUGUAGUUGUUUGAGAUUGUUAUAGAUGUUGAGCCAAAUACAGCAUCUAUCAGUCCGUCAUGGCAAUUAGCUAGUGUACAAUGAUCAAUCCACACAUCCCUAGCCGCAAAUAUCGAUAUCCCAUCCCCAUCUGAAUUACCUCUCAAACCGUAAUGCUUUGUGGAGUCUCUUACAAUGGCAUUUCCUCCUGGUACACAGCCAUGUAUGUAGAUGUUAUGUAUGAUAAUGUUACUGACAUUUUGAAUGGUUAUGCAAGGACCAUCCGCAAUCUGGAUGUUAUGCCCCCGGCCAUCAAUUGUUUUGUGUGAAUUCAUAAUAAGUUCUUCCUUCAAGUUGAUGACCAUGUCCUGAUCAAAGAUGAUCCACAGAGGCUCUUCUUGGAUGACACCAUAGCGGAGUGUGCCUGGAAUUGGGUUUACAGGGUCAUCAUUGUCAGAAUUUGUUACUACAUAGAGGUUACCAUCUCGACCCCCCACAGCAUUGCGUCCAAACCCAAUCGCGCAAUCAGCUAGCACCUUCCUGUUGGUUUCCCAGUCUGGGUCGCAUCUCCAACAAUCAUCAAUAGGGUUACCGGUUCUGCAUGCAUCGUUUCCCAGCUGCCUUCUCGUUGAGCUCCUGUUACAUCAUUUUGCUCAGAAAUUGAUCUUAAAUAUUCUUGUGAACAUAUAGCAUGAAACAUUCACUUACCACUU